rnacentral:misc_RNA from 1 species
CCAAACUUGGUCAUUUAGAGGAAGUAAAAGUCGUAACAAGGUUUCCGUAGGUGAACCUGCGGAAGGAUCAUUAUUGAAUAUACUGCCUUGAUAGGUUGUAGCUGGCCUCUUGAGGCAUGUGCACGCCUAUCUUGACUCUAUUCAUCCACCUGUGCACUUAUUGUAGUUCCUUAUUCUCUGGAUUUGAAGAUUGCCUUAUUGGCUUUCUUCUUGCUGGCCUUGUGCUUAUAUCAGAGACCCAAGGGACUAUGUUUUAUUAUCAUAAACCAAGUAGUAUGUUGACAGAAUGUAUUCAAUGGGCCAUUGUGCCUAUAAAAUCUAUACAACUUUCAGCAACGGAUCUCUUGGCUCUCGCAUCGAUGAAGAACGCAGC